UUGGUAUUUGUUUGACAGCAUCAAGCAAAGGUAUAUUGAUCUCCACUUUGCGAAAGGUUGCAAGUAUUUCUUUCUCUUCUUUUUCUUUUUGUGAUCUUGCAAACCUUUUUGGAAAGGGAGGUGGUACCUUGAAUUUUUCUUCUGGUUGUUGUUCUGUCUUGUUCUGCUUUGGUCUGGAUUCUGCCUGGAUCGUCGAUUUGGACAAAUCAAAUUAUGCCCUCUCUGGAGGUUCGGGCAAAUUGUCUAUGCUGGGAAAUUCUGUUUGUUUGUUGAUUUGGCCAGUGAUUUGGGCAAAUCGACUUCUUGGAUCACUUACCGGCAGCUUCUCUUCAACAGCCUGUUUGUGCAUUUGGGCAUUCCUAUACUCAGUUCUAUCAUUUUGAAGCUCUCUCCCACUUCACAAUGUGAUGGCACUAACAUUUUGCUUGGAUUAAU
rnacentral:lncRNA from 1 species